rnacentral:misc_RNA from 1 species
GUAUUGAUUGCGUGUGACCGCAAAAUAAAUAAAUAAAAAGAACAUUCUACACUGUAUCAAGUUUUAUGUGAAAACGCAAGCCCUCCUGCAAAGGGGGGCCCACGCGGUGAUGCACAAAAGGGGUGAGAUGGAUUGUGUGAGAGUGCUCGGGCGUGCACGACAAAAAAAAGCCAGCGACAACCCUCGUACCCCCAUUGUACGAUAAUGAUCCUUCCGCAGGUUCACCUACGGAAA